UACGAAGGGGGCUAGCGUUGCUCGGAAUCACUGGGCGUAAGGCGCACGUAGGCGGACUCUUAAGUCGGUGGUGAAAUCCUGGAGCUCAACUCCAGAACUGCCUUCGAUACUGGGAGUCUUGAGUCCGGGAGAGGUGAGUGGAACUGCGAGUGUAGAGGUGAAAUUCGUAGAUAUUCGCAAGAACACCAGUGGCGAAGGCGGCUCACUGGCCCGGUACUGACGCUGAGGUGCGAAAACGUGGGGAGCAAACAGG
rnacentral:rRNA from 1 species